GACGAACGCUGGCGGCGUGCUUAACACAUGCAAGUCGAACGAAGUGGCGAACGGGUGAGUAACGCGUAAUCAACCUGCCCUUCAGAGGGGGACAACAGUUGGAAACGACUGCUAAUACCGCAUACUGAAGGGGGGGAUUGCGUCUGAUUAGCUCGUUGGGGGGGUAACGGCCCACCAAGGCGAUGAGCAGGAGCCGGUCUGAGAGGAUGAACGGCCAAAUUGGGACUGGGACAAGGCCCAGACUCCUACGGGAGGCAGCAGUGGGGAAUCUUCCGACAUGGAGGAAAGUCUGACGGAGCAACGCCGCGUGAGUGAUGACGGCCUUCGGGUUGUAAAGCUCUGUUAAUCGGGACGCGGUACCGGAAUAGAAAGCCACGGCUAACUACGUGCCAGCAGCCGCGGUAAUUC
rnacentral:rRNA from 1 species